rnacentral:rRNA from 1 species
AUGGACGGCGAGGGGUGUGGGUGGCAUGUGGUGAUGGUGCCGUUCCCGGCGCAGGGGCACGUUGCCCCGCUGAUGCAGCUGGCGCGUCUCCUCCACGCCCGCGGCGCGCGCAUCACCUUCGUCCACACGCACUUCAACUACCGCCGCCUCCUCCGCGCCAAGGGCGAGGCCGCCGUCCGCCCGCCGCCCGCCGCCGCCGCCCGCUUCCGCGUCGAGGUCAUCGACGACGGCACGUCCCUCUCCGUGCCGCAGCACGACGUGGCGGCCCUCGCCGACGCCGUGGGCCGCAACUGCCCCGGCCCCUUCCGCGGCCUGCUGAGGAAGCUCGCCGACGAGGAGCGCGCCGGGGCGCCCCCCGUCACGUGCGUCGUCGCCGACACGGCCAUGGCGUUCGCGGCAACCGCGGCCAGGGAGGCCGGCGUGGCGGACGCGCUCUUCUUCACGGCGUCCGCGUGCGGCCUCCUGGGGUACUCGCAGUUCGAAGAGCUGCUCAAGCGAGGGCUCCUCCCUCUCGAAGAUGGGAGCUGCUUGACCAACGGAUAUUUGGACACGCCGCUGGACUGGGUGCCGGGGAUGCAGCAGCACAUGCGGCUCAGGGAUAUGCCGACCUUCUGCCGCAUCACGGACGCCAACGACACCAUGGUGAGCGAGAUCAUGGGGCAGAUGAAGAGCGCCGCCGGCUCCAAGGCCAUCAUCCUCAACACCUUCUACGAGCUCGAGAGCGAUGUGGUGGACGCGCUCGCCACCAUCUUCCCGCCGCCCGUGUACACCGUCGGCCCGCUAGCCCAGGUCAUCGCCUCCUCCUCCGCCGCCGCCAACGACGGCCUCGACGCCAUGGACAUCAGCAUCUGGCAGGAGGACGCGCGGUGCCUCGCAUGGCUCGACGGCAAGCCAGACAAGUCGGUGGUCUAUGUCAACUUUGGCAGCGUCGCCGUCAUGACGGCCGAGCAGACGCGCGAGUUCGCGCUGGGCCUGGCGACGUGCGGGUUCCCGUUCCUGUGGGUGAAGCGACCCGACAUCGUGGACGGCGACGACGUGGCGGCGCUCCCGGAGGUGUUCCGCGACGAGCUGGAGCGCGGCGGGGGCCUCGUCGUGCCGUGGUGCCCGCAGCCGGCGGUGCUGAAGCACGCGGCGGCGGGCCUGUUCGUGACGCACUGUGGGUGGAACUCGCUUCUGGAGUCGGUGGUGGCCGGCUUGCCGGUUCUCGCCUGGCCGGUCUUCGCCGAGCAAACGACCAACUGCAGGCAGGUGCUUGAGUGCUGGCGGAACGGCUUGGAUCUUCCAGAGGAGGUGGAGAGCGGCGCCGUGUCGAGGCUGGUGAGGGAGAUGAUGGCCGGGGAGCUGGGGAAGGAGAAAAGGGCCAAAGCGGCGGAGUGGAGAGCCGCGGCCGAGGCGGCCGCCAUGGAAGGCGGCUCGUCGUUGCGCAGCGUCGACCGACUGGUCAACGAUGUGCUGCUGCUCGGGAACAAGUGA